GACGAACGCUGGCGGCGUGCUUAACACAUGCAAGUCGAACGGAAAGGCCCUGCUUUUGUGGGGUGCUCGAGUGGCGAACGGGUGAGUAACACGUGAGUAACCUGCCCUUGACUUUGGGAUAACUUCAGGAAACUGGGGCUAAUACCGGAUAGGAGCUCCUGCUGCAUGGUGGGGGUUGGAAAGUUUCGGCGGUUGGGGAUGGACUCGCGGCUUAUCAGCUUGUUGGUGGGGUAGUGGCUUACCAAGGCUUUGACGGGUAGCCGGCCUGCGAGGGUGACCGGCCACAUUGGGACUGGGAUACGGCCCAGACUCCUACGGGAGGCAGCGGUGGGGAAUAUUGCACAAUGGGCUGAAGCCUGAUGCGGCAACGCCGCGUGCGGGAUGACGGCCUUCGUGUUGUAAACCGCUUUCGCCUGUGACGAAGCGUGAGUGACGGUAAUAGGUAAAGAAGCACCGGCUAACUACGUG
rnacentral:rRNA from 1 species